rnacentral:rRNA from 1 species
UACAGAGGGUGCGAGCGUUGUUCGGAAUUAUUGGGCGUAAAGAGCGCGUAGGCGGCGCGGUAAGUCACCUGUGAAAUCUCCUGGCUCAACUGGGAGCUUGCAAGCGAAACUGCCGUGCUGGAGUGUGGGAGAGGUGCGUGGAAUUCCUGGUGUAGCGGUGAAAUGCGUAGAUAUCAGGAGGAACACCUGUGGCGAAAGCGGCGCACUGGACCGCAACUGACGCUGAGGCGCGAAAGCUAGGGGAGCAAACAGG